rnacentral:rRNA from 1 species
UACAGAGGUCUCAAGCGUUGUUCGGAAUCACUGGGCGUAAAGGGUGCGUAGGUGGCGUGGAAAGUCAGAUGUGAAAUCCGGGGGCUCAACCUCCGAAUAGCAUCCGAUACUCCCAUGCUAGAGAACUGGAGGGGGAUCUGGAAUUCUAGGUGUAGCAGUGAAAUGCGUAGAUAUCUAGAGGAACACUAGUGGCGAAGGCGAGAUCCUGGACAGUUUCUGACACUGAUGCACGAAGGCCAGGGUAGCGAACGGG